rnacentral:rRNA from 1 species
ACUCCUACGGGAGGCAGCAGUGGGGAAUCUUGCGCAAUGGGCGAAAGCCUGACGCAGCCAUGCCGCGUGAAUGAUGAAGGUCUUAGGAUUGUAAAAUUCUUUCACCGGGGACGAUAAUGACGGUACCCGGAGAAGAAGCCCCGGCUAACUUCGUGCCAGCAGCCGCGGUAAUACGAAGGGGGCUAGCGUUGCUCGGAAUUACUGGGCGUAAAGGGAGCGUAGGCGGACAUUUAAGUCAGGGGUGAAAUCCCGGGGCUCAACCUCGGAAUUGCCUUUGAUACUGGGUGUCUUGAGUGUGAGAGAGGUAUGUGGAACUCCGAGUGUAGAGGUGAAAUUCGUAGAUAUUCGGAAGAACACCAGUGGCGAAGGCGACAUACUGGCUCAUUACUGACGCUGAGGCUCGAAAGCGUGGGGAGCAAACAGGAUUAGAUACCCUGGUAGCGACUGA